CCUACGGGUGGCAGCAGUGGGGAAUAUUGGUCAAUGGGCGUAAGCCUGAUCCAGCCAUGCCGCGUGUGGGAUGAAGGCUCUCUGGAUCGUAAAUCCUUUUUAUAAGGGAGUAAAGUGUGGGACGUGUCCUAUUUUGUAUGUACCUUAUGAAUAAGGAUCGGCUAACUCCGUGCCAGCAGCCGCGGUAAUACGGAGGGGGCGAGCGUUACCCGGAUUUAUUGGGUUUAACGGGUGCGUAGGCGGCCUUUUAAGUCAGCGGUGAAAGUCUGUGGCUGAACCAUAGAAUUGCCGUUGAAACUGGGGAGCUUGAGUAUGUUAGAGGCAGGCAGAAUGCGUGGUGUAGCGGUGAAAUGCGUAGAGAUGACGCAGAACCCCGAUGGCGAAGGCAGCCUGCCAGGCCAUGACUGACGCUGAUGUACGAAAGCGUGGGGAUCAAACAGGAUUAGAUACCCUUGUAGUC
rnacentral:rRNA from 1 species